UGCGUAGGUGGUGAGGUAAGUCGGAUGUGAAAUCUCCGAGCUCAACUCGGAAAUGGCAUUGGAAACUACCUUGCUCGAGGGUUGGAGGGGGGACUGGAAUGCUUGGUGUAGCAGUGAAAUGCUUAGAUAUCAAGCGGAACACCAGUGGCGUAGGCGAGUCCCUGGACAACUCCUGACACUGAGGCACGAAAGCUAGGGGAGCAAACA
rnacentral:rRNA from 1 species